rnacentral:tRNA from 1 species
GCGGUUGUAGCUCAACGGAAGAGCGUCGCCUCGCCAUGGCGAAGAUCCGAGUUCAAUUCUCGGUAACCGCUCCA